GGAGGAUUACCCAAGUUGGGCUUAAGGGAGCAGUCUCGAAAACUGCCAGGCGUGUCAAAGCGUGCGUGGGUUCGAAUCACAUAUUCUCCG
rnacentral:tRNA from 1 species